rnacentral:rRNA from 1 species
AUUGAACGCUGGCGGCAGGCCUAACACAUGCAAGUCGGGCGAUUCUGGUUUCGGCCAGGAGAGCGGCGAACGGGUGAGUAACACGUAGGAAUCUGCCUGGUAGCGGGGGACAACGUCUAGAAAGGGACGCUAAUACCGCAUACGCCCUCCGGGGGAAAGCAGGGGCUCUUCGGACCUUGCGCUAUCAGCUGAGCCUGCGGCGGAUUAGCUAGUUGGUAGGGUAAAGGCCUACCAAGGUGACGAUCGGUAACUGGUAGGAGAGGAUGAUCAGUCACACCGGAACGGAGACACGGUCCGGACUACGACGGGGGGGAGCAGUGGGGAAUAUUGGACAAGGGGGGGAACCCUGAUCCAGCCAUGCCGCGUGGGUGAAGAAGGCCAUCGGGUUGUAAAGCACUUGAGGUCGGGAGGAAGGUUCGCUGGCUAAUAUCCAGCGGAAUUGACGUUACCGACAGAAUAAGCACCGGCUAACUCCGUGCCAGCAGCCGCCGUAA